AACAGGAUUAGAUACCCUGGUAGUCCACGCUGUAAACGAUGUCGACUUGGAGGUUGUUCCCUUGAGGAGUGGCUUCCGGAGCUAACGCGUUAAGUCGACCGCCUGGGGAGUACGGCCGCGGGGUUAAAACUCAAAUGAAUUGACGGGGGCCCGCACAAGCGGUGGAGCAUGUGGUUUAAUUCGAUGCAACGCGAAGAACCUUACCUACUCUUGACAUCCAGAGAACUUAGCAGAGAUGCUUUGGUGCCUUCGGGAACUCUGAGACAGGUGCUGCAUGGCUGUCGUCAGCUCGUGUUGUGAAAUGUUGGGUUAAGUCCCGCAACGAGCGCAACCCUUAUCCUUUGUUGCCAGCGGUUCGGCCGGGAACUCAAAGGAGACUGCCAGUGAUAAACUGGAGGAAGGUGGGGAUGACGUCAAGUCAUCAUGGCCCUUACGAGUAGGGCUACACACGUGCUACAAUGGCAUAUACAAAGAGAAGCGACCUCGCGAGAGCAAGCGGACCUCAUAAAGUAUGUCGUAGUCCGGAUCGGAGUCUGCAACUCGACUCCGUGAAGUCGGAAUCGCUAGUAAUCGUGGAUCAGAAUGCCACGGUGAAUACGUUCCCGGGCCUUGUACACACCGCCCGUCACACCAUGGGAGUGGGUUGCAAAAGAAGUAGGUAGCUUAACCUUCGGGAGGGCGCUUACCACUUUGUGAUUCAUGACUGGGGUGAAGUCGUAACAAGGUAACC
rnacentral:rRNA from 1 species